UACGAAGGGGGCUAGCGUUGCUCGGAAUCACUGGGCGUAAAGGGUGCGUAGGCGGGUCUUUAAGUCAGGGGUGAAAUCCUGGAGCUCAACUCCAGAACUGCCUUUGAUACUGAGGAUCUUGAGUUCGGGAGAGGUGAGUGGAACUGCGGAGUGUAGAGGUGAAAUUCGUAGAUAUUCGCAAGAACACCAGUGGCGAAGGCGGCUCACUGGCCCGAUACUGACCGCUGAGGCACGAAAGCGUGGGGAGCAAACAGG
rnacentral:rRNA from 1 species